UCUGGUUCAAGACGGCUUGAUUCCCAGCCGAACAGUUCGGCCGCAGCAAAGCUGCCCUGGGACUUUCUGAAGACAACUCCACACGCGCGCCCGCGAGCACGCGCUUCCCUUCCCUUAGCCCGAUCGGUUAUGCCCUGCCAACGCUGCGGGCUGAUUUCGGGAAAUUUUCUGGCCGUAGCCCCGUCUAGGGUCAGCCAAGAAGUAAAUGAAUGAAUAAAUAAAUAAGGCAUUGUUAAUGGGGGUCCGGAGGGUAGGUGGGGGAUGAAGAGGACGGGUGGACAGGAAGGCGCAGGGGUUUUGCCUAACAGGGCGACUGAGCUCUCCAUCUUCCCUCUAAGCCUGUUAGGGACACAUUCUCAUGUCCUUAAACGUACAAGCAGAUAAUUGUUGGCGCUCUAUCUUUGUGCGAAGGAGGCCAGGGUGUAAAUGCCUUUUAAUGACUGCAGCUGCUGGCUGAAAACUGUCAAUGGAAUUGGCUAAUGCAGAGCCCCCGGAAAAGGGGGAGAGGGGGAAAAAAAGGGGGCUUUUGCGAGGGAGCUGCUGAGCCUGAGCGCCGUUGGAGCCGAAGAGGGAGGCUGGAGAGGGCGAGAAAGAGACAGGCAGACAGGCAGACAGACAGAAAGAAGAAGAAAAAGAGCGGGGGUGGAUUGGGGGGGGGGAGAGGGAGAGGGAGAGAUUGGAGGAAAGAUCGCAGCGACCAAGCCACCCGCUCUUCCGCCUCUGCACCAGGGCGAAGGAAAACAAGUCUUUCUGCCCUAGAAAAAUCUUUUCCGGCUCCUAUGCCCUCCAGACGGAAGGGGACGCCGGAAGAGAAGGGAGGAGGAAGAGGCGAUGGUGAAGCCGAAGAAGCAAACACGCCGUCCGAAAAGGAAAAAAUAAACGCCGGCAGAGGAAUGCAAACGGUUCUUCUUUGA
rnacentral:lncRNA from 1 species